GACGAACGCUGGCGGCGUGCUUAACACAUGCAAGUCGAACGAAGAGCGACGGAAGCUUGCUUCUAUCAAUCUUAGUGGCGAACGGGUGAGUAACGCGUAAUCAACCUGCCCUUCAGAGGGGGACAACAGUUGGAAACGACUGCUAAUACCGCAUACGAUCUAAUCUCGGCAUCGAGGAUGGAUGAAAGGUGGCGUCUACAUGUAAGCUAUCACUGAAGGAGGGGAUUGCGUCUGAUUAGCUAGUUGGAGGGGUAACGGCCCACCAAGGCGAUGAUCAGUAGCCGGUCUGAGAGGAUGAACGGCCACAUUGGGACUGAGACACGGCCCAGACUCCUACGGGAGGCAGCAGUGGGGAAUCUUCCGCAAUGGACGAAAGUCUGACGGAGCAACGCCGCGUGAGUGAUGACGGCCUUCGGGUUGUAAAGCUCUGUUAAUCGGGACGAAAGGCCUUCUUGCGAAUAGUGAGAAGGAUUGACGGUACCGGAAUAGAAAGCCACGGCUAACUACGU
rnacentral:rRNA from 1 species